rnacentral:rRNA from 1 species
UAUUGCACAAUGGGCGCAAGCCUGAUGCAGCCAUGCCGCGUGUAUGAAGAAGGCCUUCGGGUUGUAAAGUACUUUCAGUUGUGAGGAAGGGUGUGUAGUUAAUAGCUGCACAUCUUGACGUUAGCAACAGAAGAAGCACCGGCUAACUCCGUGCCAGCAGCCGCGGUAAUACGGAGGGUGCGAGCGUUAAUCGGAAUUACUGGGCGUAAAGCGCAUGCAGGUGGUUCAUUAAGUCAGAUGUGAAAGCCCGGGGCUCAACCCCGGAGCUGCAUUUGAAACUGGUGAACUAGAGUACUGUAGAGGGGGGUAGAAUUUCAGGUGUAGCGGUGAAAUGCGUAGAGAUCUGAAGGAAUACCAGUGGCGAAGGCGGCCCCCGGACAGAUACUACACUCAGAUGCGAA